AUGGCGCCGUGGUUCACCAAGUUUGAUGUGGAUAAAUUUGAUGGCACGGGUAACUUCGGUCUAUGGCAGACAAGAGUGAAGGAUAUUCUAGCGCAGCAGGGAAUCUUGAAGGGUUUGCAGGAGACGAAGCCGGCCAAGGUUGACAGCGAUGCGUGGGAGAAUAUGCAAGUGCAGACGGCCGCUACCAUAUGGCUUUAUCUUGCGGAUCAGAUCAUGUAUCAUGUCAUGGACGAAGAUACUCCUAAGGGAAUUUGGGACAAGUUGGCAAAUCAUUAUAUGUCCAAGCCAGUGACCAAUAAGCUGUAUUUGAAGCAAAAGUUCUAUGGGAUGAAGAUGUAG
rnacentral:rRNA from 1 species